rnacentral:rRNA from 1 species
UACGUAGGGUGCGAGCGUUAAUCGGAAUUACUGGGCGUAAAGCGUGCGCAGGCGGUUUUUGAAGUCAGAUGUGAAAGCCCCGGGCUUAACCUGGGAAUGGCAUUUGGGACUGCAAGGCUCGAGUGCGGCAGAGGAGACUGGAAUUCCUGGUGUAGCAGUGAAAUGCGUAGAUAUCAGGAGGAAUACCGAUGGCGAAGGCAGGUCUCUGGGCUGACACUGACGCUCAUGCACGAAAGCGUGGGGAGCAAACAGG